GACGAACGCUGGCGGCGUGCCUAAUACAUGCAAGUUGAGCGCUGAAGGUUGGUACUUGUACCAACUGGAUGAGCAGCGAACGGGUGAGUAACGCGUGGGGAAUCUGCCUUUGAGCGGGGGACAACAUUUGGAAACGAAUGCUAAUACCGCAUAAAAACUUUAAACACAAGUUUUAAGUUUGAAAGAUGCAAUUGCAUCACUCAAAGAUGAUCCCGCGUUGUAUUAGCUAGUUGGUGAGGUAAAGGCUCACCAAGGCGAUGAUACAUAGCCGACCUGAGAGGGUGAUCGGCCACAUUGGGACUGAGACACGGCCCAAACGCCUACGGGAGGCAGCAGUAGGGAAUCUUCGGCAAUGGACGAAAGUCUGACCGAGCAACGCCGCGUGAGUGAAGAAGGGUUUCGGAUCGUAAAACUCUGUUGGUAGAGAAGAACGUUGGUGAGAGUGGAAAGCUCAGCAAGUGACGGUAACUACCCAGAAAGGGACGGCUAACUACGUG
rnacentral:rRNA from 1 species